GAAAAUUUCAUUUUUUUAGAUAUUACUUUAGAAAAACAUUAAUAAAUAAAAACAUUGUCUAAAUAAAAAGAAACAUUGUUUGUUCACACCAUAACACAUUGCAACCAUGUUCUCAAAAGCCAAACCGUACAUCCCAUCAAAAUAUCAGAGUACAAUCCCAGUAAAUCUCAUAAAUGCGGAAACCGAAGAGUGUGUGUAUGACGUGCCGCUACCGCGCCGGCUCCUUCCCCUUCGAUGCAGAGGUACCUGAAAACAAAACUGUAAACGUAAGCACAAAGCUUAGUGAGUUCCCCCAACGUACCGCAUACCAUACAAACACAUAACAUAUAUACUGCCAGGCUAUUCUGGGGUGCCUGACUACCCGGUACGGCCAUUCUGGGGUGCCGACCUACCCAUACGGCCAUUCUGGGGUGCCGUCUUACCCGUGUCAAGCCAUUCUGGGGUGCUGACUACCCAUCGGUCCUAACAACCGAUCC
rnacentral:lncRNA from 1 species